CAGUAGCCACGGUAAUACGGAGGGGGCUAGCGUUGUUCGGAAUUACUGGGCGUAAAGCGCACGUAGGCGGCUUGGUAAGUUAGAGGUGAAAGCCUGGAGCUCAACUCCAGAAUUGCCUUUAAGACUGCCGAGCUAGCAGGUGAGAGAGGUAAGUGGAAUUCCGAGUGUAGAGGUGAAAUUCGUAGAUAUUCGGAAGAACAUCAGUGGCGAAGGCGGCUUACUGGCUCAUACUGGACGCUGAGGUGCGAAAGCGUGGGGAGCAAACAGGAUUAGAUACCCGCGUAGUCCCUGUCUCUUAUAC
rnacentral:rRNA from 1 species